GCUGGAGUGGGUGAGGAGAGCUCAUAUAUUCUGUUCCCUGGCUGAACUCUGAGGAUAUGACUGUCUGCAGGUAGCUGCUAACAAAUAGGAGAGAAGAUAGGUUGUGUGAUGGUGGCCUAAUGCUGCUGCCGGUGCUACAUUCAGCAGACUGGAAUCAAUAGCAGUUGCUAUAAAGAGGCCUUAUCAGUCUGGAUAAAGACAGAGACUUUACAGAAGCAGCAACUUAAAUGCUUGAGAAGCAUACAGCUGAUGUUUCAGGCAAGAAGAUUGUCAGAAGACCUGGAAAAUGCCUGCAUGGCCAUUGCUUCCCCCAUGGACAGGAGCAGGCACUGCUCCACCUGAGCGUGUUCACUGCCAAUACUGCACAGGCAGCUGUCCCAGGGGACAAGGAACAGAUGACACUACCAAUGUACAGCGUGUCAGAGGAUCUCCCGGGCAAUUUGCAAAGCUACUGGCUACACAGGGCACAAGGAUUUCAAGCACUGAAUGUGGAUCUGGGAGCACAGAGCUAGGAGGAUUUCUUCCAAGGAAAUCUGUUUUGGAAUCAGUUUUCAGAUACAACAGGAGACUGACAACUUCCACUGAAAGACAGACAACCUUCAGUGAAGCUACUUGAAUGAAGCGACUUCACAAUAAAAUAAAAACCCUGCAAGGUACUGAUGAAGGUCAAGUAUAAACUAAGUUAAUUAUGUAAUUGGUAACAAGCGACUUCCAGCUCUGGCAAAUUAUGUACUUAAUGCAAAGUAUUAAUAUUCGUUGUUUUGUUGAAAUGAGUGUCUGUGAUCUCAUCCUUGAAUGAAAAGAACCAAAGAAUUUAAGAUUUUGCCACUAAGCUAAGGCAUGGGUGUGUUUCUGGGCCACUGGCUGCUGGCUUUUGGCUUAUGCUAUAGGCAGCAUCUCAAGUAUUUUGUACAAAGGAGUUGGAUACGUAUUUAUACAACUUAUACAAUAUUUAUGCCUGAGCUCAGUGUUUGUUUUGAAUGCAAUUGAGAAUGAACUCGUACAGUAAACACUGGUGUCCUUUAGAGAUAGCACAAACCAAGCAGCACUUCUGUUCAUACGCUCACUGCUCCAUCGGCUUCAAAGCACUCGCUGAAGCACAACUGGAGAAAGAAUGUAGUUUCAUAAAGCACAGCUCCCGCUUUUUCCCUCCUACCGAUCUGUGAUAAUUUUCUCAGAGCUGGGGGAAGGAAAUGUUUGAAAUUCUGAGCUGGUUACCAUGCUGCUCUCAGUCCAAGUGAGCCCAACCCAAGAUGUGAGAUGCCCGCAUCUGCACUUCAGCAGCCUCUUGUGAUAUUGAGCACAGCAUCAGGAAAACAAUUUCCCAACCAUAUAUCAUUAGAGAGCUCAGUGCAAGAGGAUUGCCUGACAAAGGCUUUUCAAUCUGAUAGAGACUGUGAAAGCUCUUUACAGUUUCCUGAUUAAAUGAAUUGUCUCUUAAACCGACUGAUGACAAUGAAUCAGCUUCUAGCUCCUCAACCACAGGUGCGUGAUCCUGCUCACCCUGCUGGCAGGGGACUUGUGUAGGCUCCUGAUGUUUUUUGGGGUGAGGAGGGGUUGUGGUGGUGGUUGAGGCAGGAGGAUGCAUGGACUGGAGGCUCUGCAGCUGUGUUUUGGGCUGGCUCCCUGCCUGCUCUGCCCGCUGCUUGGGGAGAGGAUCCUGGAUUGUGGGGAAAAUACCUCUGGGAUUAGUGGGCUGAAGAUCCUAGCUGCUCAAGCAGGUGCAUACGGCAGCUCAGUGAAGUGUUGCUUGCUGGAUUUGUUUACUUUUUGACUUUCUGUCAUGUUUCUGUUGGAGGAGCACUGAUGUGCCCAGUGCUGAUCCUUAGAGGGGCUGUUCCUGCGGGCUGCAGGGUCACGUCAGCUGCAGCAGUGGCUGCUCGCUUCCCCUGGAAAUGGCGGCAGUACCCAGCUGCCUUAAAAAGGUAAAUUGUAAGUCCAAGAAAUGGGAAUUAAAGUUUCCAGUCACAUUUUUGCCGUUGUUAAAUAGUGUCAUGUACCCAGGAUCUUCUGUCUUUAUAUAAAUACAUUCUGACAACUUCAAAAUUAGCUUGACUUUGACCCUUGAGUGGCAUCAGCCAAAGACAAAAUGUGAAUUAACAGACUUGGCAGCAUUCAGAACAAUGUUUGGAGAAAUGUCUUUGGUUGAAAAACAGAAGAGAUACAGAUAAUUUAGAGAUGGUGCUUUCGCUCAACCACCCCUCUUUCAAGAAAAAACAAAUACAACCAACCAAAAAAAAAAAAAAAGUGGAAAAAAAAAUCAAAACAGAAACAAACGAAAAAAAAAAAACAACUUGGAGUCUUAGGCAUAAAAAUAAACAUUCUGAGGCAAAUGGGAAUGCCACCUCAUUUAGAAUAAGUUCAAGAGUAGAGGACAGGGUUAUAAUUUUCCUCAACUUGAAAGUUAUAUGAUGAGACAACAUUUAUAAAACCUCUUGUCAAUUCCCAUGCUGAUAACCGGAGACGCAGCAUCAUUCGCUGAAAAGAAUGAAGCAUGAAUGAUUCGCUGUUUCCUAGACCAUGAGAAAAAUCUGGGCAAGCUUGAAAAGUUAUGCCCCUGGGACAGCGUUCAAGCCGGGGCCGAUCGUGCUGCGUGUGUGCACGCGAUGCCAUUGCAAGCUGUCUGCUUCCCUUACAAAGCGGCUGAGCCUCCGGUACAGCCCAGAGAGGAUGUGGUGAAAGAACCCCCUGAACUACCUUCCCUCCGUGGAAAUUUGAAUCUAGGUGUGAUGAUCACCCUGUUGCACGACUUCUAAGGUAUUGAACUGUAUUACAGUGCAUUGUGUAUUUCAUCUCUUAGCCUACAGGCACCUUGAGGAUGGCUGGAUGUGUCAGGAGAAGCUCUCUUGGUGCUUCAGAUGUGAAUCAUUGACUCAUUGACUGGGUUAUAAAAGGCAAAGUCAAUUAAUCAGCUCCUUCCUUCUCUUACCCUGAGAGUUUUUGUGUAUGCAAAUAACACAUCUUGAACCUUUGGUUAUUCGUGUACCCUUUCAAAUGUAAUUUCUACAAAUAAAUUUCAAAUGUCAGGUAUAUUUUAUCAUUUAGCAUCAGCACGUAGGAGGAAAAGGUGAAAGAAGCAAUCCAGCAUCAUUACUUAUGGGUAAGAAAAUUACGGGAAAAUUCUUUAAAGAAGAGAGAGAAGAAACAGAAAGCUGGAGGAAAAUAUCAGGAGCUCAUUUGUGGACACUCCCCCGAAAGGUCAGGGGAGGCAAUGGAAGGAAUGAAACUGUUGAUGGAAAUCAGCAACGCAGACAAACAUCCAAAAAAAUGCAAUCUUCAAAAAAGCAGCAGGCAAUCAGGCAGGGGUGCUGUGAGAAUCCACAAACCUCCAGUCAGUGCUAAAAUAGGACAGCCACCCGGCUCUGUGCUGCAAGGGGCAUCAGCGCAGCCCCAGGCGCCCACGUGGGCAAGAAGAGAGCCCGCAGGGACAGCGUUUGUCCACCCCUGGCCCAAGGAUGCUGGCAAAAGAGCACCGACCUCUCAGGUGUGGAAGCAGUAGGGGCCAAAUGAUGGGCUCCAAGACACACCAACCUGAACGUGAAAUGAGGCUGUUGCCUCUGAGUGCAAAACUGCUCCUGUUGUCAGUUUUGGAAAUAGUUCCUACUGCUGCUGCACGAGCAAAGGACCAAAGAUGUUUGAUACAGAAGUAGUGCUGGCCAUCCUAAGGCGAAAGGAAGCGUGCUGUUAGAGAGGCUGUGCUAUAAAUACACACGUGUGUUCACUCGUUACAUAAACUCAGUGGCAUGUUGGACUUGGGCUGGCCUUUCUGUGAAAACAGACCGCACCGCGGCCUUUCAGCACUUGAAGGGGACUCACAAAAAAGAUGGAGAGCAGCUCUUGGCUCCAUCGGGUACUGACAGGAUGAGGGGGAGCGGCUUCAAGCUGAAAGAGGGCAGGUUUAGAUUGGAUCUGAGGAGGAAAUUCCUCGCUCAGAGGAACUGGGGCUGGGUGUGCGUGGAGGUCCCUCCAGCCCCAGCUGUUCGUGGCUCUGUGGGACACGCUGCGCCCUGGAAAUUAAAGUGCUUAAGAACAAA